rnacentral:tRNA from 1 species
GGCCAGUUGGUGAAAUGGUUAACACACACGCCUUUCACGCGUGCAUUCACGGGUUCAAAUCCCGUACUGGUCA